UUCCCUAGUGUCACCACCUUGACACAAAAGAUACUACACCAUGGCUUAUGUGGUGGCACCUUGCACUCAUGAGUGUCUAUUCAUGGUGGAACACAUGUCAUGUGAUAUCCCACAUCAAAUAGGGGAAAAAAAUUUGACGCUAUAUAUUUAUAGGUUCUUCUUAACCUUGUAGACGCAUUUCAAAGCAAUGAAGGUCCAAUUGGGUUUAGAACGGGCAAUAUCCACAUAGGAAAGAGUAGGUCAUUACAAAUGAUAUCAAAAUCGAUCUUCGACCCCAAUGUGAGAGUUCGUUUAGCUUCAUAAGGGGUGUUUAUCUAUUUAGUCUUACAUUUCUAUGGGACACGAGGACGUUUCCUUGUUGUAUCUACAUCGAAUAAGAAAAAAAAAUUUGACGCUAUAUAUGUAUGAGCUCCUCUUAACCAUAUAGAUGUGUUUUAAAGUCAUAAAGGUCAUUAGACUUAAAGUGUAUGAUAUCUACAUGGUUGGGAGCAGGUUGAUACAUGUCAUGAGCAAGACAAGAUAAUGACUAAGGCCGAUGAGGGAUCAUGUGAGCUCGGUAGUGCAUGAGGGUACAGCAUGUGUUGCUCUCACACAAGAGCAACACAUAGUACACAGGCUAGUGUGUGGAGUGGCUCAACACGACCAAAAUUCAAGGGUUGAAUUUUGAGUGGCUAGUAUUUUUCGAGGCCUUAAGAAGGGUUUCCAAGUGAAAGAUUGAUUUUUGGGAUUUUCUAUUGUUUUAGAAAAUUCAUCAUGCUUCCUCAAACAUCUAUGAUAUCUCCUUUUGACACUUUGGAAAUAACUCAAAAUGCUCUUUAAGGAAGAAGCUCACUUGGAGAUGGUGACUGUGACAUAAGUUAUGUCACACUGAAGGCAUGGCAUUAGGGCUUCAGAUAUAAGCAAAGGGUAGUAUUGACCCAAUGCUAUCACACACACAUAGGUGCAAUGUCAUGGGUCUAGUGCAACCCAUGAACUCAAUGACACAGCAUAAGGUUCUAUCACAAGGUAUAAGCAUGAUUGCUUUAGGUUGGUAGGAUCAACAUGGUAGGCACACACAUGGGCCAACAUAACAACAAAGAUAAUGGGCUAAGAAGAUGGCUUAGCGCAAAUGGGUUGUCUAGAGACACAUGCAAUGGGGCUAGAUCAUGCUUAGGGCAACAAGAUACAUGAGUGGGCUUGAUGCUCACAGACUCAACAAGCAUGGGCUUAUAGUAUGCAUGACACAUGAAGGACACCUUGGCAUUAGACAAAGCCCAAGUAAGGGUUUAUUAACACUACAAAGGCUUGACACAUGGUGGGCUGAGAUGAUGCUUGACACUUGGCAUAAACCAAGCAAAUCUAUAAAACAUAAGGGAAGGUAGCAAGAAAAGGAGCAAGCAGGCAACUAAGUCCCUAUGAUGGUAGCAUGGCAAAGAAUAGGUUGUUGAGCAUGAGGAUAGGUGGAAAUGAUGAAGAGACAAACAUUACAUGCUACUAAUAGGUCGCAAUAGCCAAAGGCUUUGAAUCAAUCCACAUGACAAGUGGCAAGGGCUGAGGCCAUUUGAAGAAGUCCACUACCUAGAUGUGAGGGAAGUUACAGGCUGAUUUCUAGCAUGUGAGGGUUAGGUUGGAUGCCUAUAAAUAGUUUGACCAACAAGCCAUUCUUUGCAUGAACUCACCAAAGAGAUUAUGGGAGUCUUGUUGAAAGAGGUCUAAAUUAUUUUCAUGUAAAUUCUUUGUAGAGCAAUAUACAACUUGGGGCGAUUACCCUAUAAUUUCAUGUGGGUUGUGUGUGUGCUUUCUUCUUAUUACAUUUGGUGUGGGUUAGAGAAGCCUAGCUUAGAAGGCUUCUAAGCAUUGCUUGACACAAAAAAUUUGUGGGAAAAUUUCAUGCUUUUGACACCUAGUAACUCCUAUGAGAAUUAAGAUACAUUGCAUAACCCUAAAUCACACAAAUAUUGACCUACUUAGAACCAAGUCUUAUAUCAAAUGUUGCAUGGGUUAGAGAGGCCUAGCUUAGAAAGCUUCUAAACGCUGCACAACACAAAAAAUUGGUGGGAAAAUUUCAUGCUUUUGACACCACGUAACUCCUAUGAGAAUUAAGAUACAAUGGAUAACCCUUAAUCACACUAAUAUUGACCUACUUAGAACCAAGUCUUAUAUCAAAUGCUAUGCAAGCAACAUGUUGAAUUUGGUAAUUUGGUUCAAGAGUCUAGUUCUUUACAUAGUUCAUUAUGAAUUCUCAAAUGGAAAUAUCAACACUAAGUGGAAGUUCAAGACUUAAAAACACUUAUGUUGAGUGCAUAAUAUAGUUACUGAGUUUGUUUUUUUUUUUUAGCGGAUUAGAUUAGAUUUGUUAGAAAAUUUGAAUUAGUCAAGUUAUUUGAAUUCACUUUAGUUUAUUUUUUAUUUUAGAUUAUGUAGGAUUANNNNNNNNNNNNNNNNNNNNNNNNNNNNNNNNNNNNNNNNNNNNNNNNNNNNNNNNNNNNNNNNNNNNNNNNNNNNNNNNNNNNNNNNNNNNNNNNNNNNUAUGGGAGUCUUGUUGGAAGAGGUCUAAAUUAUUUUCAUGUAAAUUCUUUGUAGAGCAAUAUACAACUUGGGGUGAUUACCCUAUAAUUUCAUGUGGGUUGUGUGUGUGCUUUCUUCUUAUUACAUUUGGUGUGGGUUAGAGAAGCCUAGCUUAGAAGGCUUCUAAGCAUUGCUUGACACAAAA
rnacentral:lncRNA from 1 species